CGAAAAGCUUUGUACCGACAUAUUGCUUCAUCAUAAAGAUCUUUAGCACAUCCUCCGGCCUUUGGUUCUCACAAUUGCACCAAGAUCGGGCUCAUCUAGAGUUUUGAUGCCAUGAUCACCUUUGGUAUUUCUGAUUGCACAGAGGUUCUCUGUGUUGAGUACAAGCCCACGAAGAAGCAAAGACGUACAAAUUUAUGUGAGUUUUGUAACGAUGGACCAGCAGGUGGACCAAGUGAGAGAUCAGUCCCUACGUGACGAAGUUUAAAGUUAGCAAGUUUCACAUAUGCAUAGCUCAAGAUAUAAUCUUUGAUGCAUCCUAAUCUUUUUUGAAAUAUUGUGAUGUAUAUUCUAGUUAUUCUUAGGAUAUCAUUUUGGUAGAUUUUAAGUAAACAUUAGAUAUUAAUUGUAUGCACUCUUAGUGGUAUCCUAAUUGUAUUAGGAAAAUAUUAUGAUAAGAUAUUGUGAGAUGUACUUUUCUAUCA